CCUCCACCUACAGCUGGUUCCUCUCCUGUUCUCUCUGUGUUGUUAUCUGUUGGAUCAUUCUGUGCUGUGGUUCUUCUGGUGUUGCUGGUUCUGCUGGUAAGAAGACACAUGCACAGGAAACCUGACGCAAACAGAGGAGAAGUUGACGAUGACGUCACACAUGACAUCACGUACAUUGAUGUCAUAACCUCAGAUCAUCGAGGACAGCCAAUGAGGAGAAGCAGAGAGCCAGAGGUCAUCUACUCCUCACUGAAGUAGUCCAACAACUGGACUCCAGCUGCUGGCCCCCACUGGUCCACCAAGACCCUCAGUCCGUCAUCUGCAAUAUUCACUUCUUUGUGUGUUUUUAUUGCAUCACAUUCAUAUAGUUUUUCAUAUUUCUUUUUAUCCCUGUGUUGGAUCAACAUACCUCAUCCUCCUGGGUUUGUGUUUCCCUGCCUGUGGCUAGAUCCUCCUGUGGUGUCCUCUGUGGUGCCCUUCUAGGUCUAUGCAGACUAUUGACAUGGAUGGGGAGAAAGCAGGAGUCCAGAUGAAGCUCAGAGUGUUCUGGAACUGUGGAAUGGCUGCUAAGCAAUGUUGAGUGUUUUGGAUUAGCAGAAGAUUUCCUUUCUUGUUCCUGCUCGGACCUGUAGGGCCUGGAUUUAUGAGGCUGUUAUCG